rnacentral:misc_RNA from 1 species
CAACAAUAACAACAACAACAACAACUAUAUUAACAUCAUCAUCCAAACAACAAAUUCAUCAGCUGCAACAGCAAAAGGAUAUAGCCAAAAGACAAGGCUGCACUCAAAUGCGGUAUUUACUCAAUUAACUGAAAAUGUAGCGCUGGCAAGGACAUGGGCAAAGUGGAACAGCAAAUGCCAUGCGAUGCAACGAGCAUAAAUAAACUUCAAAUAUUCCGUGAUUAGGACGUGGUGUACCCAAGCGCUCUAAAUGCAGACGAUAUGGGCACAACAUGGCCUCAGCACAGAUACGACAUUUCUAUAACACACCAACAACAACAACAACAACAACAACAAGAACAAACAAGUCCUCUUCUUCCACAACACGCCAACUCUUACAACAACAGCAGCAACACACUGUCAACAGCAGCAGAAAGCGGAAGCAAUUUGAAAGCGAAACGUUUCUGUGCCACACAACAACACAAAGUAAAUUGGAAGCACCAAGAACAACAACAACAACAACAACAUGGCAGCCACUCACGCCAGCAACACUCGGGACAGCAACAGCAGCAGCUUCAUCAGAUGAUGUACAAACGAGCGGAAGUGAAAAAGGUGCUUCGAAUUGGAUAUGGACAAUACAUGAGAUCGCUGCGAGCACCGCCAACCAUAGCCGCAGCAACAGCAGCAGGAGGAACAGCAUGUUACAGUAUGCUGGCACGAAGACUGGGCAACAGCAGCAGCAGCAGCAGCAGCAGCAGCAGCAGCAGCAACAGCAGCAAAUGCCGCAGCUGCAUCAGCAAUAUCCUGUCUCAGGUACACAUGAUGCUAAUUGCAAUGACGGCCACAACGAUAUUGGCGCUGGCAUUGCGGGAUGUCGACGCCUUGCUGUUGCUACUGGGGCUGCCACUGCUUUUGCUGCGCACGCCAGCAGCAGCAACAACAAGAGCAAUACAAAAGCUGCAACAGCAACAUGCAAGCCAACAAUACAAUCACGCCUAUCUUCCAAAACCAAACACGGCCAAGGUCAAGACUCUACAACAGCAACAACUGCAACAACAACUGCAACAACUGCAACAAAACAACGAAAAGUCUAUCAACACUGCACAAAAGCUGCCGCUGCCAUUGGCCAGGGCCCUCGGACUGUCAGAUUCUAUAUGGAUAUGCAAAAAUUUGCACGCACUGUAUUUCCGCUUGUUAUUGUCUUCAAUCUGCUACCUUUGUUCUAUGCAGGUACGUUCCAACAAGCCAGCCAAAAGCAAUGUGAUCAGACGUUCGUCUCGCGCAUUGGAGGGCCACAAAACGGCAGCUUCACGGCUCCGCUGCUGCAUAACCAUCGGAAUCAUUCGCGGCAAUGCCUCUACACAUUCCUAGCAGGACCGGGUCAGCGUGUCGAAGUAGUUUUUAAAUCCUUUAAUUUAAGAGGAAGUCCGCCAGACGGUUCGGCCGUCGGUGAGUUACCAAGUUGUGUUCAUGAGUACAUGGAUAUCUACUCGGAGGUGCAAUCGUCCGAACCAGCGGAGCUGAUCAAUUCCCCAUUCGGCGGCCGCUAUUGUGGCGCAAUACCGCCGCGUCGUCGCAUUUCCAUGUACCGCGCCGUUGCCAUUUCAUUUUUUAGCAACAAGAAUGUGUCGACGGACCUGUUCGAGGGCACAUUUCGGUUUAUAAAUGCAUCGGAAUAUGAAAUUGGUAUACCCAUUGCUGGAUCGCCAUGUUCCUACACGAUAACGCCUAGCAUGAGUAUCAAUAAAACUGGCGCACUCAUAUCGCCAACCUAUCCAGGUGCCUAUCCGAAGGAUAUGUCAUGCACAUAUCAAUUUCUUGGUGAAUCGAAUCAGAGAGUUAGAUUAGAGUUUCGUGAUUUUGAUCUGUUUUUUGGUGGACCACACUGCCCAUUUGACUAUGUGAAAGUGUACGAUGGUCCAGAUAAUUCGUCAGCAUUAAUCGGUACAUAUUGCGGACAGCAAAGAAACUUAGUAUUGUAUUCGAGCGAGUCGAGCCUUUUUGUUCAUUUUUAUACCCUGCCGCGCACCGCAAAUUCGCAAAAUCGUGGCUUUAAAGGAAUUUAUGAAUUUAGCGAAAGUUUUGUUAAAUUAGAUUUUAUACGUGAAAAUGAUGGCAUUCACAUACGUGGCUCAGAAUGUGAUCAAAAGAUUUUAUCGAAGAAGGAAUCAACUGGUUUUGUGCUCUCACCCAACUAUCCCUAUCCAUAUAUACCAAAAACUGUGUGUAGAUAUUUCAUCUAUGGCAUGCAAGAUGCCCAGCAUCUGGAGCGUGUGCGUCUCGAGUUUAUCUCUUUCAACAUACCCAAAGUGGAGCACAAGGACAAGAGCGAAUCCAAUUGUACUGAUGGCUAUCUAAAGAUCUAUCUGAAGGGCCAAGAGACGGCCGAUGCGUACGACAAAUUCGAUUACGAGUUGUGCGGCAAUGAGACGCAGCGCGUCAUCAGCGAUGGGCCCCGUCUGGCGAUGGUGUUCAGUUCGGGUGAGCUGCAGGGGCGCGGCUUUAAGGGCAAGUACAUAUUCGAGACGGAAUAUAAAAUACCCGGCACGGCGGCACCGGACGGCACCUGCAGCUUUACGUAUGUGAGCAGCUCGAAGAAACGCGGCGAGCUAAACAGCCCGCGAUAUCCAUCCAACUAUCCGUCAGACACGAACUGUUCCUACUUGUUCUUGGCCGAGCAUAACGAGCAAGUUACCAUUGUAUUCGACCACUUUAAGAUCAAGGCCGACAACAAUGGAAAUGCCACUGCGGGCUCUUAUGGCUCCGGUGCCUGCUUUGAGGAUUGGCUGGAAAUGUAUGUGGUGUAUCGGGAUAACAACGAUCGCUUGCUGGGUCGCUAUUGUGGCCUAACUGCACCCGGGCCCGUUGAGAGUCCACGAGGCGCAGUUGGUCUACGCAUUACGUUGCACACGGAUCAGGAGAGCGUGGCCAGCGGCUUUAAGGCGCGAUAUUUCUUUGAAUCGGCCAAAUCCGAUGCGGGCGACUGUGGCGGCAACUUCAGCAACGAGGAUUCAGGCAUUAUCACCUCCCCGAACUAUCCAGCCGGCUACAAGGCGCCUGGUCGUGGCAUGGCCUCCAAUGCCUGCAACUGGGUAAUGACCGCACGCGCCGGCUACAAGUUGUCCAUCAACUUUGAGCAGUUCGGGCUCGAGGGCGAUCCGGCAAAUCGUGGCUGUCCCGCCGCUGUGCUGCGGCUCUGGGUAAAUGUCGAUUCGGAUCAGCCGCCUCUGGAGCUGUGCGGUGAGAAGCCCCCUAUUGAGCACUGGCACUAUAUAUCCACUGGCCAAACAGCGCGCAUCAGUUUCACCACCAGCGACAAGACCGUCGGUGCACAGGGCUUCCGCAUUGUAUGGACGGAGAUACAGGACUCCGGCCCGGGACCACCAUCCAUUGGGCUGCUCUGCGAGUCCACCUACCACUUCCAGUGUGCGGCGGGCUAUUGCAUAUCGGACAAGCUGCGCUGCGACGGCGUCAAGAACUGCGGUCCCGGCGAUGAUAGUGACGAAUUGCAUUGUGAGUCGUAUCACGGAAGCGGCCGAGGAGGAUCACGACGUCCUAAUUAUAAUAACACUAGUCGUCGUCUCGUCCCUAAUCUGUCUCCUAUGCACACUCUGUCACUCCAGAAGAAAACGUAGAAAUCAUGCGCGUCAAUUGGGUUUACAUCGGAAUGCACACUAUGACUCGCAGACGAGCGCAACGGGUUUCCUUUGAUUUCGUUUUGUCUUUUAUAAUUUCGAGCUGGUCUUAGCUCCAGUCGACGUCAUUUGCAGAGUGGAGGGGCGAGCAUUGCGGGCAGUUUACACGGCAUUAACAGCGGCACCUUGA